GAGGAGGUCAUUAAUACCACCGGUCAAGGCUAAUGAAAGCCAUUCAUCGUGUCUCUUGUUUCUUCAAACAACAGACUACUGAAUGAAGGGACUUGAAGGGCCUAGAGGACACAAGAAGUGAAGCGCAUGAAACAAAUAUUUACGUUCCUUGAGAUCCUUCAGCACCGCCGCUCAAAGGCGUAUCUGACACAUCUGGGAACCAAGAGUGGAUUAAGUACUCCGUGUCUACAAGUGUUUCUGAAAAACGAGUGUGUGUGAAGGGCUGAAGAAUGGAAGCCAUGCCACAACCCCGCACUGGCAUGUUCAAAACUGUGGAAAUAUUGGGAGACUUACCACAGAUGGACAUCAAAGUGUUGGAUGAAGAUGAAGCAUACCGGACCCAGUUGAUCGAGAAAAUCCAAACUCUUUCACCUUUAUCUUGAACUUCCUUUCAACCAGCUGCUGAGCAGAGACUGCACCAGCUGACCACAGACAGCAGAUACCGAAUGUGACUGUACACACAUGACAAUGUAAAAAUACUUAAAACCUA